rnacentral:misc_RNA from 1 species
GCAACUUAGACUGAUAUAAUGCAUAAGCAGUCUGCAAAGACUAGAUUUCAGGUAUGGUACUCCGACUUCUACACUGAGAAACUGUCUACUUUCGACAUGAGUUGCCUGUCAUCUUGGUUUAUUCAUCCUGGUGGACUAAGAAGUUGCAACAGCAUUUAUUCUCCCGAAAUUUCUCUCCAGUUGCACUUCUAGAGUUUCGUUACCAAUAUUUUGCUGCUCCUCUUGGAUCUCUUUCGCUGAAAGCACUGCAGAUUGGCUUGAAUUUUCCAGCUCUAUUAUCUGCAAAGUCGGAAUAUCUCCCAGAUCGUGAGGGAUGCUGUCUAAGUGAAGACAACACUUAAGAACUAGAUGUUCCAGGACAGGAAAAUGAUCAUUUGAGGCACUCCAGUGCUCUAAAUCAAACAUCUCGAUCUGCAACAGUUUUA